GUGGGGAAUAUUGGACAAUGGGGGCAACCCUGAUCCAGCAAUGCCGCGUGUGUGAAGAAGGUCUUCGGAUCGUAAAGCACUUUCGACGGGGACGAUGAUGACGGUACCCGUAGAAGAAGCCCCGGCUAACUUCGUGCCAGCAGCCGCGGUAAUACGAAGGGGGCUAGCGUUGCUCGGAAUUACUGGGCGUAAAGGGCGCGUAGGCGGCUCUGUUAGUCAGGCGUGAAAUUCCUGGGCUUAACCUGGGGACUGCGCUUGAUACUGCGGAGCUUGAGGCCGAGAGAGGGUGGUGGAAUUCCCAGUGUAGAGGUGAAAUUCGUAGAUAGUGGGAAGAACACCGGUGGCGAAGGCGACCACCUGGCUCGGUACUGACGCUGAGGCGCGACAGCGUGGGGAGCAAACAGGAUUAGAUACCCUGGUAGUCC
rnacentral:rRNA from 1 species